rnacentral:rRNA from 1 species
GUAGGUGGCAAGCGUUGUCCGGAAUUAUUGGGCGUAAAGCGCGCGCAGGUGGUUCUUUAAGUCUGAUGUGAAAGCCCCCGGCUCAACCGGGGAGGGUCAUUGGAAACUGGGGAACUUGAGUGCAGGAGAGGAAAGUGGAAUUCCACGUGUAGCGGUGAAAUGCGUAGAUAUGUGGAGGAACACCAGUGGCGAAGGCGACUUUCUGGCCUGUAACUGACACUGAGGCGCGAAAGCGUGGGGAGCAAACAGGAUUAGAUACCCUGGUAGUCCACGCCGUAAACGAUGAGUGCUAUGUGUUGGGGGGGUUUCCCGCCCCUCAGUGCUGCAGCUAACGCAUUAAGCACUCCGCCUGGGGAUACGGUCGCAAGACUG